UACAGAGGGUGCAAGCGUUAAUCGGAAUUAUUGGGCGUAAAGGGCGCGUAGGCGGCCACGCACGUCCGUUGUGAAAUCGCCCGGCUCAACUGGGCGGGGUCGGCGGAUACGGCGUGGCUGGAGCAAGCUAGGGGGCAAUGGAAUUCCCGGUGUAGUGGUGGAAUGCGUAGAUAUCGGGAGGAACACCAGUGGCGAAGGCGGUUGCCUGGAGCUUUGCUGACGCUGAGGCGCGAAAGCGUGGGGAGCGAUCCGG
rnacentral:rRNA from 1 species